AGGACGAACGCUGGCGGCGUGCUUAACACAUGCAAGUCGAGCGGAAAGGCCCUUCGGGGUACUCGAGCGGCGAACGGGUGAGUAACACGUGAGCAACCUGCCCUUAGCUUCGGGAUAGCUCCGGGAAACCGGAAUUAAAUACCGAAUAUGAAUGCGGCUGACAUCAGCAACAUUGGAAAGUUUUUCGGCUAGGGAUGGACUCGCGGCCUAUCAGCUUGUUGGUGGGGUAAUGGCCUACCAAGGCGACGACGGGUA
rnacentral:rRNA from 1 species